rnacentral:rRNA from 1 species
GAUGAACGCUGGCGGCGUGCCUAAUACAUGCAAGUCGAGCGAACAGACGAGGAGCUUGCUCCUCUGACGUUAGCGGCGGACGGGUGAGUAACACGUGGAUAACCUACCUAUAAGACUGGGAUAACUUCGGGAAACCGGAGCUAAUACCGGAUAAUAUAUUGAACCGCAUGGUUCAAUAGUGAAAUACGGUUUUGCUGUCACUUAUAGAUGGAUCCGCGCCGCAUUAGCUAGUUGGUAAGGUAACGGCUUACCAAGGCGACGAUGCGUAGCCGACCUGAGAGGGUGAUCGGCCACACUGGAACUGAGACACGGUCCAGGGUCCUACGGGAGGCAGCAGUAGGGAAUCUUCCGCAAUGGGCGAAAGCCUGACGGAGCAGCGCCGCGUGAGUGAUGAAGGUCUUCGGAUCGUAAAACUCUGUUAUUAGGGAAGAACAAAUGUGUAAGUAACUAUGCACGUCUUGACGGUACCUAAUCAGAAAGCCACGGCUAACUACGUG